UAGCCAGGGGGAGAGAAUGGAGUGUGGGUGUGGUGGGGUGUGAAACGUAUGAGUGGGAUGCUUGGAGUAUGCGUAUUCUGCUAUGGGUUCCAGAGGUGUGCGUUAGGGGCGAGUGAGUGAGCGAGCCCCUGCGCUACAGCAUUUACUUUAUUUCAUUUACACGUUGAUCUUAUUUGAUCGGGUCGGGAUGUUGCGGCCUCCCCCGGCCUGAAAUGAGAAGUCCCUUUUCCUGUGAAGCCUUCGGGCGCUGUGCAGUGAAGCAGGUUUACCGAGCCGGAGGCAUUUUUAGUCGGAGAUGAUGAAUUGAUCAGAUAGAUGAGGCUGGAGGCUGGGGUCCCCCCUCCUCCUGACCAAUGUGUAUCGAAGCGAUUCUGAUCCGG